rnacentral:rRNA from 1 species
UACGUAGGUGACCAGCGUUGUCCGGAUUUACUGGGCGUAAAGAGCGCGCAGGCGGUCGUUCAAGUCGAGUGUGAAAGCCCCCGGCUCAACUGGGGAGGGUCACUUGAUACUGAUCGACUGGAAGGCAGGAGAGGGAAGCGGAAUUCCCGGUGUAGUGGUGAAAUGCGUAGAUAUCGGGAGGAACACCAGUGGCGAAGGCGGCUUCCUGGCCUGUUCUUGACGCUGAGGCGCGAAAGCGUGGGGGAGCAAACAGGAUUAAGAA